GUAACGGCGAGUGAAGCGGCAACAGCUCAAAUUUGAAAUCUGGCCCUUGUGGUCCGAGUUGUAAUUUGUAGAGGAUGCUUUUGGUGAGGUACCUUCCGAGUUCCCUGGAACGGGACGCCAUAGAGGGUGAGAGCCCCGUCUGGUUGGAUACCGAGCCUCUGUAAAGCUCCUUCGACGAGUCGAGUAGUUUGGGAAUGCUGCUCUAAAUGGGAGGUAUAUGUCUUCUAAAGCUAAAUAUUGGCCAGAGACCGAUAGCGCACAAGUAGAGUGAUCGAAAGAUGAAAAGCACUUUGAAAAGAGGGUUAAAUAGUACGUGAAAUUGUUGAAAGGGAAGCGCUUGUGACCAGACUUGGGCUUGGUUAAUCAUCCAGGGUUCUCCCUGGUGCACUUGGCCAGCCCAGGCCAGCAUCAGUUUGUCGCGGGGGAUAAAGGCGUCGGGAAUGUGGCUCCCCCGGGAGUGUUAUAGCCCUUCGUGUAAUACCCUGCUUUAGACUGAGGUUCGCGCAUCUGCAAGGAUGCUGGCGUAAUGGUCAUCAGCGACCCGUCUUGAAACACGGACCAAGGAGUCGUCUUCGUAUGCGAGUGUUCGGGUGUCAAACCCCUACGCGUAAUGAAAGUGAACGCAGGUGAGAGCUUCGGCGCAUCAUCGACCGAUCCUGAUGUUCUCGGAUGGAUUUGAGUAAGAGCAUACGGGGCCGGACCCGAAAGAAGGUGAACUAUGCCUGUGUAGGGUGAAGCCAGAGGAAACUCUGGUGGAGGCUCGCAGCGGUUCUGACGUGCAAAUCGAUCGUCAAACAUGG
rnacentral:rRNA from 1 species